rnacentral:lncRNA from 10 species
ACCCUACCUUUUUGCAUUAAAUAAGUGGGAAAAUAUUGAAAUCAUUUUAAUCUUUCAGAAAGGACUGUGAUGAGAUAUGCUUAGAAGCACAAAAUCUUCCCUCUCUUUCCAAAGGCCAUGCUCUGCUCAACACAAUUUCUAUUGCUGUUUAUUUUUUUGUAUUAUUUCUCAGUGUUUCUUUUAGUGCUUUCUGAGUUACUUGAUUUUAUAGACCCUUUACAACUCAGGAAAGGCCAUUUUCUACUCUUUAGACCCUUUCAGAAAUAAUAAGAUGACAUUGCACAACCAUUUUUUCUUUGUUGUGCUUCUAUUCUUAUGGCAACUUCUUGUUACAGCCAAAGCUUAAUUGCUCCACUGAAACACUGGCAACAAAAAUCGUCUUCUCUUCUCCCUUUGUGAAAAAGGCUUUCACUUAAUGUGGAGAAAGGUAUUAUAUACCAGGGAAAUGGAACUUUGUAUAAAUGAUUUUCCCCCAAGAGGAACUAAAGCAUUUGGAAGGUAUCUGAAUUCAGAUGAGGACCUAAUUUAUUACUGAGGACCUAAUCUACGGGAGGUGCAAAGAAGAAUGAAAUAUUGUGUCUGCCUGUGAUGCACAUUGCUUAAUAUGAAUACUAAGAAAAAUAGUCAUCUGUUUCUGUUCCUGUCCCCCUCACUGCAAGCCCUUCAUCUUUAAAUUGAAG